GAAGCAUAUAGCAGCAGAGGUCUCUUCCAAAAGGCUGAAGUUCCCACUUGGGUAGCUACAGCAUGGAAGGAACAUGUAAACUAGAGCCACUGGGCCCAGUGACCACAUUAUACUGAAAAAAGAGCAAGAAAUAACCCACUGUGUUAACCACUGAGCAACUGGUGGUUUGUAACAUGGGACCUCUGUUGCAGUUCUAUAAUGAGACCUUGGUCUACACUGGACUAUAUUUCCAGUGAUUCUGCUUCUCUGGCUGAUUCCUGGCCACACAGAAUUGAUGGUGGUUGGUGGCCUCCAAGACGGCCCCAGUGAUCCUUCUCUGGAGAUGGUAAAAGCAUUAUGUAACUGCCUGCUCUGAGUAACUAGUUACAGAGACGCUGAGGGAUGCAAUUUCUCUGGUUAGGUUACAAAACUGUGACUUUGUUUUGACAGAUUCCAUGCUUUCUUAGUUUGCGUGCUUUCAUAAAAUAUGCUGUACUUAGGAAGGUGGGACACAUGCCAAGGACCUGAAAGCAAGUCCAGUACUUUUAGGUCUAUAGCUUCUUAGGGACAGAACGUGUUCCUAGCAACCAGGGGGUCAGGUGGAAGAGAAGCCAACCACCCCAGGAGAACCUUCAGAUGAAACCACAAAUCUGGACCAACAUCACAUCGCAGCCUUGUGGGAGACCACGAAGCAGAGAACUCCUGAUGCACAGACACUCUGGGAUAGGGAAUGUGUGCAGUUUUAACCUGAGUUUUGGAGCAAUUUGUUAUGAAGUUUCCUUUGACCGGUAUCUCCAGUCAAAGAAUUACAAAACUGGAAAGAAGUUUUGGAAAUUAACUUCAGUGCUGUUAUUCAGACUGGUGUGGCUGUGAUGUAACUGAAGG
rnacentral:lncRNA from 1 species